AGAGACAGAUGAAGACGGGGAACAGGCAGAGCAUGGAUGGAGCUACUAACAGAAGUACUUGUUUUGGCUCUACCCAUGCACUGCCUCUUCCCUGGCUUGUGGCUCUUCCUUUUCU
rnacentral:pre_miRNA from 13 species